rnacentral:misc_RNA from 1 species
UAAAAAGCACACAUACCGCGAUUCAACCCCUGCUCACCUACUAUAUGCUUUUUAUUUCUCGUCAGGGUUCAAUCUUUUGCAGCCGCGUUUCGGUAUCACCGACGUUUAUUUUCUAGUCACUCUGAUGUAAAUUCGAAUCACUCGCAACUCGGAUCGCACACAUUUUCUUUGCCAAUCAGAAUCACUACACGUCGCAUAAUUUUACCCUUAGGGUGCAUCUCCUGGAACACGUAGACGUUUUUUGGUCUACAGACUCGCCGAAGAUGAUCUGCCUAAGUAUGGAGCAAGGAAAUAAUGAAGAGCUUCUUAGUAUACUCUACUGUUUUUAAAGACUUCGUCAUAAUCGUAGGAAUUCUAACGUUCUGUAUCUAUACUCAUCGAAACUUUCUUGUGAAAGCACACGCAUCCAAGUACAAAAUAUACAGCCUCUGUUACGAGUUCCAUGUCAAGCGUGAAGUCGAACAGGAUAGAAAUUGAACUUGGAAUACACGCGAGAAGGAAAUUGUUCCACGUUCUCUCGUACGGAAGACGUAUACGAAGUGAUACGACGUCUGCAUCAUGAAGGAGAACGUGUGUAUUCUCAAUACAUAUUGAGGUAUCAUUUAGGAAUUUAUUUAGUCAUCUUUCACGCCAAAAAUACUUACUUGACGAAACAUCUAUAAGUAAUUGUUUCCUUUUUUACGAUUGCCAAGCUCGUACGCGUUUAUUUCU